UGAACGCUGGCGGCGUGCCUAAUACAUGCAAGUCGAGCGAACAGACGAGGAGCUUGCUCCUCUGACGUUAGCGGCGGACGGGUGAGUAACACGUGGAUAACCUACCUAUAAGACUGGGAUAACUUCGGGAAACCGGAGCUAAUACCGGAUAAUAUAUUGAACCGCAUGGUUCAAUAGUGAAAGACGGUUUUGCUGUCACUUAUAGAUGGAUCCGCGCCGCAUUAGCUAGUUGGUAUGGUAACGGCUUACCAAGGCAACGAUGCGUAGCCGACCUGAGAGGGUGAUCGGCCACACUGGAACUGAGACACGGUCCAGACUCCUACGGGAGGCAGCAGUAGGGAAUCUUCCGCAAUGGGCGAAAGCUUGACGGAGCAACGCCGCGUGAGUGAUGAAGGUCUUCGGAUCGUAAAACUCUGUUAUUAGGGAAGAACAAAUGUGUAAGUAACUAUGCACGUCUUGACGGUACCUAAUCAGAAAGCCACGGCUAACUACGUG
rnacentral:rRNA from 1 species